GAUGAACGCUGGCGGCGUGCCUAAUACAUGCAAGUCGAGCGAACAGACGAGGAGCUUGCUCCUCUGACGUUAGCGGCGGACGGGUGAGUAACACGUGGAUAACCUACCUAUAAGACUGGGAUAACUUCGGGAAACCGGAGCUAAUACCGGAUAAUAUAUUGAACCGCAUGGUUCAAUAGUGAAAUACGGUUUUGCUGUCACUUAUAGAUGGAUCCGCGCCGCAUUAGCUAGUUGGUAAGGUAACGGCUUACCAAGGCAACGAUGCGUAGCCGACCUGAGAGGGUGAUCGGCCACACUGGAACUGAGCCACGCUCCAGACUCCUACGGGAGGCAGCAGUAGGGAAUCUUCCGCAAUGGGCGAAAGCCUGACGGAGCAACGCCGCGUGAGUGAUGAAGGUCUUCGGAUCGUAAAACUCUGUUAUUAGGGAAGAACAAAUGUGUAAGUAACUAUGCACGUCUUGACGGUACCUAAUCAGAAAGCCACGGCUAACUACGUG
rnacentral:rRNA from 1 species